ensembl:misc_RNA Metazoa_SRP Metazoan signal recognition particle RNA
ACUGGGCAUGGUGGCGUAUGCCUGUAGUCCCAGCUGUUCAGGAGGCUGACAGGGGAGGAUCGCUUGAGCUCAGGAGUUCUAGGCUGUAGCGUGCUAUGCCAGUCGGGUGUCCACACUAAGUUCAGCAUCAAUAUAGUGACCUCCUGGGGGUGGGGGACCACCAGAUUGCCUAGAAAAGGGUGAAUUGGCCCAGAUUGGAAUCAGAGCAGGUCAAAACUCCUAUGCUGAUCAAUAGUGGGGUCGUUCUUGGGCAUAGCCACUGCAUGCCAGCCUGGGCAACAUAGUGAGGGCCCGUCUCUU